UACAGAGGGUGCAAGCGUUGUUCGGAAUUAUUGGGCGUAAAGGGUGCGUAGGUGGUGGCUUAAGCGUGCGGUGAAAGCUCGGGGCUCAACUCCGAGUCGGCCGUGCGAACUGGGCUCACUGGAGCAUAGUAGAGGCAGGUGGAAUUCCGGGUGUAGCGGCGGAAUGCGUAGAGAUCCGGAAGAACACCGGUGGCGAAGGCGGCCUGCUGGGCUAUGGCUGACACUGAGGCGCGACAGCGUGGGGAGCAAACAGG
rnacentral:rRNA from 1 species